GUGUUUUUUCGAUUACUGUCUUUGUUAUUUGCUAGUAUAUAGAUUAUCGGUAUUACAACCAAUCCUUGGGUUAAAGCUUCCGUUGCACAACAAAAAUACCAAUUGUUAAAAUCACUACAUUAACCCCAUACUCUUAAUUAAAUAGUGGACCUAUAAUAAGCAUAUGUUUCUGCCUUGUAAAACUUGGUUGCAUGUCUAGUUCUCUAGUUAUGAAAGUUGCUCUUGGUAGUAAACCUGUAUACGAAGGAGGUGGAACACAAAAUGCUCUUAUACCUACAACAUAACAGAUUCUAUUAGUUUUAAAACAACAGUCACCAACUUCAACAAAGUCCAUUCAUGCAAAUCAACAAUUCUUACUCAUUACCUUGAUGUCGUUGCGUAGAACUAUAGUAACCAACUUAACUUGAGGUACUUGAAUGGAGGAUUAGCAUUUGAUCCAGCUCUAAUUGGUGGAUUCGCAACUGGUGGAGCUCUUACAGAAGGUUGUGGUGAUGGUUGAGCUCUUACCAGCUAGUGCAGAUGUUUGGAGUGAUGGUAGAGCUCUUACAAGUGGAGUUUGUGAUAGAGGAGUCCUUUCAAGUGGAGUUGUCAUUGAAAAUUGCCUUGACAAUGUAGUACUUGCCACUGAACCUGCCAUUGAAGCCAAACAACUAUAAGUUUUCAUCUUAAAAAUAGUAGUAUCACAUCUUUACUACUUAUAAAGCGACCUGUUAUUAGCAACAGUAAAAGCCUAUAUAAUAUCUACUUAUAUUUUGACACGUAUACAGACUUUCGUUCGACUCCGGAAAUUGAUUAUGUUCUUAAAUUUUUUUUUAUCACUACUGUUUGUUGACUUUAUGGAAAAUAAGAAUGAGUUAGGGCACGUGCAUGGCAUGUGCAUAUUUACAUAGUAUACAGUAAACAUUUGUAUACCUUGUGCUUGUGGAACAGUCCAAGACAUCCCUGGUAUACCACCUGAUGGUCUAGGUUGAAGUGCAGCUCUAGUCAUAAUCCUUGGUUAAGACAAAACAAAGAAAUAUAAAGCAAUAAUAAAAAAAUAUAAAUAAAUCAACAUUCCUCCAAACUGAGUUGUAGACUUCUAGUACUAGAUUGCCCUUUAAGAGCAAUCCCAAUCGGAGGGCAGUUUGGUGCCCUCCACGUAGGUGCCACAUAAGCAAAACCACCUUCAAAAUCACUCUCUAUCCAUGAUAGUCAAAACCCCCUGCGAAGUGGUGUCAAUGGGAAA
rnacentral:lncRNA from 1 species